UGCUUGUAACCCCCAACAAACAGCCUUCUUGU
rnacentral:piRNA from 1 species